GAUCGUCAGCAAUGCCUCCUGCACCACCAACUGCUUAGCGCCCCUGGCCAAGGUCAUCCAUGACAAUUUUGGUAUCGUGGAAGGACUCAUGACCACUGUCCACGCCAUCACUGCCACCCAGAAGACCGUGGAUGGACCCUCCGGGAAACUGUGGCGUGAUGGCACUGGAGCUCUCCAGAACAUCAUCCCUGCCUCUACUAGCGCUGCCAAGGCCAUGGGCAAGGUCAUCCCUGAGCUGAACGGGAAGCUCACUGGCAUGGCCUUCCGUGUCCCCACUGCCAAUGUGUCAGUGGUGGACCUGACCUGCUGUCUGGAAAAACCUGCCAAAUAUGAUGACAUCAAGAAGGUGGUGAAGCAGGCAACGGAGGGCCCCCUCAAGGGCAUCCUGGGAUACACUGAGCACCAGGUGGCGUCCUCUGACUUCAACAGCGACACCCAUUCUUCCACCUUCGAUGCUGGGGCUGGCAUUGCCCUCAACAACCACUUCGUCAAGCUCAUGUCCUGGUAUGACAAUGAAUUUGGCUACAGCAACAGGGUGGUGGACCUCAUGUCCCACAUGGCCUCCAAGGAGUAAGACCCCUGGACCACCAGCCCCAGCGAGAGCACGAGA